rnacentral:rRNA from 1 species
UGGGGAAUUUUGGACAAUGGGGGAAACCCUGAUCCAGCCAUCCCGCGUGUGCGAUGAAGGCCUUCGGGUUGUAAAGCACUUUUGGCAGGAAAGAAACGUCAUGGGUUAAUACCCCGUGAAACUGACGGUACCUGCAGAAUAAGCACUGGCUAACUACGUGCCAGCAGCCGCGGUAAUACGUAGGGUGCAAGCGUUAAUCGGAAUUACUGGGCGUAAAGCGUGCGCAGGCGGUUCGGAAAGAAAGAUGUGAAAUCCCAGAGCUCAACGUUGGAACUGCAUUUUUAACUACCGGGCUAGAGUGUGUCAGAGGGAGGUGGAAUUCCGCGUGUAGCAGUGAAAUGCGUAGAUAUGCGGAGGAACACCGAUGGCGAAGGCAGCCUCCUGGGAUAACACUGACGCUCAUGCACGAAAGCGUGGGGAGCAAACAGG